UACGUAGGGGGCUAGCGUUGUCCGGAUUUAUUGGGCGUAAAGAGCGUGUAGGCGGCCAGGUAGGUCUGGUGUGAAAACUCGAGGCUUAACCUCGAGAUGUCAUCGGAAACCAUCUGGCUAGAGUCCGGAAGAGGAGAGUGGAAUUCCUGGUGUAGCGGUGAAAUGCGCAGAUAUCAGGAAGAACACCCGUGGCGAAGGCGGCUCUCUGGGACGGUACUGACGCUGAGGUGCGAAAGCGUGGGGAGCAAACAGG
rnacentral:rRNA from 1 species